UACGUAGGGGGCGAGCGUUGUCCGGAUUUAUUGGGCGUAAAGAGCGUGUAGGCGGCCAGGUAGGUCUGCUGUGAAAACUCGAGGCUCAACCUCGAGACGUCGGCGGAAACCAUCUGGCUAGAGUCCGGAAGAGGAGAGUGGAAUUCCUGGUGUAGCGGUGAAAUGCGCAGAUAUCAGGAAGAACACCUAUGGCGAAGGCAGCUCUCUGGGACGGUACUGACGCUGAGACGCGAAAGCGUGGGAGCGAACAGG
rnacentral:rRNA from 1 species